GAUGAACGCUGGCGGCGUGCCUAAUACAUGCAAGUCGAGCGAACGGACGAGAAGCUUGCUUCUCUGAUGUUAGCGGCGGACGGGUGAGUAACACGUGGAUAACCUACCUAUAAGACUGGGAUAACUUCGGGAAACCGGAGCUAAUACCGGAUGAUAUUUUGAACCGCAUGGUUCAAAAGUGAAAGACGGUCUCGCUGUCACUUAUAGAUGGAUCCGCGCUGCAUUAGCUAGUUGGUAAGGUAACGGCUUACCAAGGCAACGAUGCAUAGCCGACCUGGGAGGGUGAUCGGCCACACUGGAACUGAGACACGGUCCAGACUCCUACGGGAGGCAGCAGUAGGGAAUCUUCCGCAAUGGGCGAAAGCCUGACGGAGCAACGCCGCGUGAGUGAUGAAGGUCUUCGGAUCGUAAAACUCUGUUAUUAGGGAAGAACAUAUGUGUAAGUAACUGUGCACAUCUUGACGGUACCUAAUCAGAAAGCCACGGCUAACUACGUG
rnacentral:rRNA from 1 species